rnacentral:rRNA from 1 species
CCCUUAGAUGUCCUGGGCCGCACGCGCGCUACACUGACACUUGCAACGAGUACUUUGCUUUACCGAAAGGUAAUGCUAAUCAUCAAUAAGUGUCGUGAUGGGGAUAGAUCUUUGGAAUUAUGGAUCUUGAACGAGGAAUGCCUAGUAAGCGUAGGUCAUUGGCCUACGCUGAUUAAGUCCCUGCCCUUUGUACACACCGCCCGUCGCUCCUACCGAUUUCGAGUGGUCCGGUGAAACUUUUGGACCGUGCGACUUUAUUGUUGUCACGGAAAGUCAGUUAAACCAUACUACUUAGAGGAAGGAGAANUCGUANCA